rnacentral:rRNA from 1 species
CUAAGCGUACACGGUGGAUGCCCUGGCAGUCAGAGGCGAUGAAGGACGUGCUAAUCUGCGAUAAGCGUCGGUAAGGUGAUAUGAACCGUUAUAACCGGCGAUUUCCGAAUGGGGAAACCCAGUGUGAUUCGUCACACUAUCAUUAACUGAAUCCAUAGGUUAAUGAGGCGAACCGGGGGAACUGAAACAUCUAAGUACCCCGAGGAAAAGAAAUCAACCGAGAUUCCCCCAGUAGCGGCGAGCGAACGGGGAGGAGCCCAGAGCCUGAAUCAGUGUGUGUGUUAGUGGAAGCGUCUGGAAAGGCGCGCGAUACAGGGUGACAGCCCCGUACACAAAAAUGCACAUGCUGUGAGCUCGAUGAGUAGGGCGGGACACGUGGUAUCCUGUCUGAAUAUGGGGGGACCAUCCUCCAAGGCUAAAUACUCCUGACUGACCGAUAGUGAACCAGUACCGUGAGGGAAAGGCGAAAAGAACCCCGGCGAGGGGAGUGAAAAAGAACCUGAAACCGUGUACGUACAAGCAGUGGGAGCACAGAGCAAUCUGUGUGACUGCGUACCUUUUGUAUAAUGGGUCAGCGACUUAUAUUCUGUAGCAAGGUUAACCGAAUAGGGGAGCCGAAGGGAAACCGAGUCUUAACUGGGCGUUAAGUUGCAGGGUAUAGACCCGAAACCCGGUGAUCUAGCCAUGGGCAGGUUGAAGGUUGGGUAACACUAACUGGAGGACCGAACCGACUAAUGUUGAAAAAUUAGCGGAUGACUUGUGGCUGGGGGUGAAAGGCCAAUCAAACCGGGAGAUAGCUGGUUCUCCCCGAAAGCUAUUUAGGUAGCGCCUCGUGAAUUCAUCUCCGGGGGUAGAGCACUGUUUCGGCAAGGGGGUCAUCCCGACUUACCAACCCGAUGCAAACUGCGAAUACCGGAGAAUGUUAUCACGGGAGACACACGGCGGGUGCUAACGUCCGUCGUGAAGAGGGAAACAACCCAGACCGCCAGCUAAGGUCCCAAAGUCAUGGUUAAGUGGGAAACGAUGUGGGAAGGCCCAGACAGCCAGGAUGUUGGCUUAGAAGCAGCCAUCAUUUAAAGAAAGCGUAAUAGCUCACUGGUCGAGUCGGCCUGCGCGGAAGAUGUAACGGGGCUAAACCAUGCACCGAAGCUGCGGCAGCGACGCUUAUGCGUUGUUGGGUAGGGGAGCGUUCUGUAAGCCUGCGAAGGUGUGCUGUGAGGCAUGCUGGAGGUAUCAGAAGUGCGAAUGCUGACAUAAGUAACGAUAAAGCG